ACGAUAGCGCUGGCGGUGUGCCUAAUGCAUGCAAGUCGAACGGUAAGGUCCCUCCAGACUAUUCAAGCGAAAGUUUGAGUGGUGUGGUGGGAUACACGAGUGGCGGACGGCUGAGUAACGCGUAGGAACGUACCCCGAACUGAGGGAUAAGCACCAGAAAUGGUGUCUAAUACCGCAUGUGCUCUAAGGAGUAAAGCUUCGGCGGUUUGGGAACGGCCUGCGUCCGAUUAGCUAGUUGGUGAGGUAACUGCUCACCAAGGCGACGAUCGGUAGCUGAUCUGAGAGGAUGAUCAGCCAGACUGGGACUGAGAACGGCCCAGACUCCUACGGGAGGCAGCAGCAGGGAAUCUUCCACAAUGGGCGAAAGCCUGAUGGAGCAACACCGCGUGCAGGAUGAAUGCCUUCGGGUUGUAAACUGCUUUUAUAUGUGACGAAUAUGACGGUAGCAUAUGAAUAAGGAUCGGCUAACUCCGUGCCAGCAGCCGCGGUCAUACGGAGGAUCCAAGCGUUAUCCGGAAUUACUGGGCGUAAAGAGUUGCGUAGGUGGCAUGGUAAGCAAAUAGUGAAAGCGUGGGGCUCAACCCCAUAUCCAUUAUUUGAACUGCCAAGCUAGAGGACGAGAGAGGUCGCUGGAAUUCCCUGUGUAGGAGUGAAAUCCGUAGAUAUAGGGAGGAACACCGAUGGCGUAGGCAGGCGACUGGCUCGUUCCUGACACUAAGGCACGAAAGCAUGGGGAGCAAACGGGAUUAGAUACCCCGGUAGUCCAUGCCGUAAACGAUGGAUGCUAGCUGUUAACCGUAUCGACCCGGUUAGUAGCGAAGCUAACGCGUUAAGCAUCCCGCCUGUGGAGUACGAGCGCAAGCUUAAAACAUAAAGGAAUUGACGGGGACCCGCACAAGCGGUGGAGCGUGUUCUUUAAUUCGAGGGUAAGCGAAGAACCUUACCAGGGUUUGACAUCCCGAGAAGGCUUCCGAAAGGAAACUGUGCCUUUUAGGAACUCGGUGACAGGUGUUGCAUGGCCGUCGUCAGCUCGUGUCGUGAGAUGUUUGGUUAAGUCCAUUAACGAGCGCAACCCUUAUAUUCAGUUGGAUUUUUCUGAAUAGACUGCCCCGGCAACGGGGAGGAAGGAGGGGAUGAUGUCAGGUCAGUAUUACCCUUACACCCUGGGCUAGAAACACGCUACAAUGGCCGGUACAAAGGGCUGCCAAGUCGCGAGACGGAGCAAAUCCCAUCAAAACCGGUCUCAGUUCGGAUAGCAGCGUGAACUCGCCUGCUUACGCUGAAUCGCUAGUAACGGUAGGUCAGCAAGUACCGUGAUACAUCCCGGUGUGA
rnacentral:rRNA from 1 species